rnacentral:lncRNA from 1 species
UUUCAUACAUGAACUUCUCUCAUAACCAGCUUUCUGGUCUAGUACCUGGAGGCACCCAGUUUCGAAGGCAGAACUGCACUUCAUUUGAGGGUAACAUGGGACUUUCUGGCCCUUCUCUUGACGAAAUUUGCAGAGAUAUUCACGCGUCAACACCACAUGAAACGCCGGAAUCAGAGGAGGAAGAAGAAGAAGAGGAAGAGGUGUUGACUUGGAUAACAGCUGUAAAGGGAGUCAUACCUGGUAUUGCCUUUGGAUGGGUGAUUGGAUACAUACUUGUUUACUACAAACCAGAGUGGUUCAUGAACCAUUUUGUCCAAAGCAGCG